rnacentral:ncRNA from 2 species
UUAGGAUGCAGCUCUGUCGGUUUUAGCGGGGGUCAGCCGCUGAAGGAAACGGGGAAAGCGCAGCGAAAAUCUGCCACUGUCCCGCAGCUGUGAGGCGAUUUUAGAAUUCGGAUUUUGGAUUGACAUCUCUCCAACGUCUAGAAACUUAAAAUUCUCCAAGUCAGAAUGCCCGCCGAUGGACGCCCACUGUU